CCCGAGGAGCGCCCCGCGCCCGCCCGCCCGCCCGCCCAUCCCCAGUCCCCGCGCUCCGCUCGAUCGCCGGGGACACCGAGCGCCCAGCCCUCCGCACCAGUUCCCGGGCGCUGCCCCCCCCCCCCCGCCGCCAGCCCGGGCCCCGGAGCACCCGCCCAGGGCUGCGCGCAGGUCCCCAGGCCGACAGGCCGGUGCUGCCUGUCCAUCAACCCGUCCACCCCGUGGGCUCCCAGCGCCAUGCCCUUCCUCGGACAGGACUGGCGGUCCCCCGGGCAGAGCUGGGUGAAGACGGCCGAUGGCUGGAAGCGCUUCCUGGAUGAGAAGAGCGGCAGCUUCGUGAGCGAGCUCGGCAGUUACCGCAACAAGGAGGUAUAUAACAAGGAAAACCUUUUCAACAGCCUCAACUACGAUGUUGCUGCCAAGAAGAGAAAGAAGGACAUACAGAAUAGCAAAACCAAAACUCAAUAUUUCCACCAAGAAAAAUGGAUCUACGUUCAUAAAGGAAGUACCAAAGAGCGCCAUGGAUAUUGUACUUUGGGGGAAGCUUUCAACAGACUGGACUUCUCCACCGCCAUUCUGGAUUCCAGAAGGUUCAACUAUGUAGUACGGCUGUUGGAACUGAUAGCAAAGUCACAGCUCACAUCCCUGAGUGGCAUUGCUCAAAAGAACUUCAUGAACAUUUUGGAAAAAGUGGUACUAAAAGUUCUUGAAGACCAACAAAACAUUAGACUUAUAAGGGAGCUGCUGCAGACCCUCUACACCUCCCUGUGCACAUUGGUCCAAAGAGUGGGCAAGUCUGUGCUGGUGGGAAACGUCAACAUGUGGGUGUAUCGGAUGGAGACCAUUCUACACUGGCAGCAACAGCUGAACAACAUCCAGAUCACCAGGCCUGCCUUCAAAGGCCUCACCUUCACUGACCUGCCUUUAUGCUUGCAACUGAACAUCCUGCAAAGGUUGAGUGAUGGACGGGACCUGGUCAGUCUGGGGCAGGUGGCCCCAGACCUGCACGUGCUCAGUGAGGACCGGCUGCUGUGGAAGAAACUCUGCCAGUACCACUUCUCCGAGCGGCAGAUCCGCAAGCGAUUAAUUUUGUCAGACAAAGGGCAGCUGGAUUGGAAGAAGAUGUAUUUUAAGCUUAUACGAUGUUAUCCAAGGAAAGAGCAAUAUGGAGACACCCUACAGCUUUGCAAGCAUUGCCACAUCCUUUCCUGGAAGGGCACCGACCAUCCGUGCACAGCCAACAACCCAGAGAGCUGCUCUAUUUCACUUUCACCCCAGGACUUUAUCAACUUGUUCAAAUUCUGAAUCCCAACACAUGACAACACUCCACAAGGGGCCCCUGCAGAUUGGAUGGCUGGAAGCUUGGACACUUCAUUUGUAAAUAGUGUACAUUUUAGACAUUGGCUCGAAACUUCAGCGAGAAGUCAUGGAGCGGACGUUGGAAGGGAGAGAUGCAGUUGCCGUUGAGAAUUUUUAAAUGUGAACUUCACAUUAGAACUGUACCAGCUGCUAGAUCCAGUGAGUUGUUAUGCAACAGAUGUUCACUGCUCUCGAAACCUCAUCUUCAUUCAGCAAAGAGUUUAUCCCAGCAGGCAGCGAGGAGCAAGAAGCUGUGAUAUUUGUGACUUUUUCUGCUGAGCCUACUUGAACUCAGUAAACAAAGUUUCCUGAAAAAUCUCUCUAAAUUUAGGCCCUGCUCCAUUUGAUCAAAAAUGGAUGGCUGCUACAACACUGGGAACUUUUUCGAAACUCCAUCAGUUCUAGCAUUACUAUUAGAGUUUGAACAUGACUCUGUCUCUGAGUAUAGAAGAUGAUUUAAUUAAUGAUGCAGAAGUCCAUUAAGCAGAAUGUUCCAAGCCCUGCUCUAUGUUUGGAAGGCUUUGGCGUCAUCUUUAUCCUAUCUAACACCAAUCACCCUGGCUGGAAAGAGUUUUUUUAUCUUAUAGUCUGUGACCUAGACUUCAAAGCUUGAGUGUACUUUUGAGAUAAGAAAUGUCAGAGUGGGUUGCAUAUUGUAACUAGAAGCAUAAAGUUAGACCAAUUCCAUGCCAAGAUGUUUAUUUAAUAUUGUGUGAGCUGAAUCCUGUAUAAAUUAUUUGCACACUUUUCUUGCAUGAUGAACUGAUUUUUUUAUAGUUGUUUGUACCAGACAGUGGCAUAUUUUUGUAAAAAAAAAAAAUUCGACACUGAAUUACAAUAAAUGUUUUUCCAACAACA